rnacentral:tRNA from 1 species
GAGGGUAUAGCUCAGUAGUACAGUACAUGCUUUGCUUAGCAUGCAUGAGGUCCUGGGUUCAAUCCCCAGUACCUCCA